CGGUAAAAGCUCAAAUUUGAAAUCUGGUACUUUCAGUGCCCGAGUUGUAAUUUGUAGAAUUUGUCUUUGAUUAGGUCCUUGUCUAUGUUCCUUGGAACAGGACGUCAUAGAGGGUGAGAAUCCCGUUUGGCGAGGAUACCUUUUCUCUGUAAGACUUUUUCGAAGAGUCGAGUUGUUUGGGAAUGCAGCUCAAAGUGGGUGGUAAAUUCCAUCUAAAGCUAAAUAUUGGCGAGAGACCGAUAGCGAACAAGUACAGUGAUGGAAAGAUGAAAAGAACUUUGAAAAGAGAGUGAAAAAGUACGUGAAAUUGUUGAAAGGGAAGGGCAUUUGAUCAGACAUGGUGUUUUUUGCAUGCACUCGCCUCUCGUGGGCUUGGGCCUCUCAAAAAUUUCACUGGGCCAACAUCAAUUCUGGCAGCAGGAUAAAUCAUUAAGAAUGUAGCUACUUCGGUAGUGUUAUAGCUUUUUGGAAUACUGUUAGCCGGGAUUGAGGACUGCGCUUCGGCAAGGAUGUUGGCAUAAUGGUUAAAUGCCGCCCGUCUUG
rnacentral:rRNA from 1 species